AUGAGCCGUGGCGGCACGUCUUCCAUGUGGUGACUGAUUCCAUGUACCACGCCGCAAUGCGGGUUUGGUUUACCCGCCGCCCGUUGGCUGGCGGUGCUCGUGUCGAGAUCAAGUCGGUGAAGGAUUUCGCCUUCUUGAACAGCACUUAUUCGCCGGUGGUUCAGCAGAUUGUUGAGAAAGGGAGGAGGGAUCUGGCGUUGUUGGAUUAUCUUAGGUUCUAUUUGCCGGAUAUGUACCCUGGGUUGCGGCGGAUUGUGUAUCUUGAGGAUGAUGUGGUGGUGCAGAGGGACUUGGCGGGGCUGUGGCGGUUGGAGCUUGACGGGAAGGUGAACGGGGCGGUGGAGAUGUGUUUUGGUGGGUUUAAGCGGUAUAAUCGGUACAUGAACUUCUCGCAUCCGGUGGUUCGGGAGCGGUUUAAUCCACGAGCCUGUGCGUGGGCUUAUGGUGUUAAUGUGUUUGAUUUGGAUGCGUGGAGGCGGGAGCGGAUCACCGAGAAGUUCCAUGAGUACCAAAUGUUGAACGAGGAUGGAACACUAUGGACUCCCGAGUCGGUGCUAUCAGCCGGGCUAAUGACUUUCUACUCAACAACGAAACCACUUGACAAGUCAUGGCAUGUGAUGGGGCUCGGGUACAACCCUAGCAUCAGCCCCGAUGAGAUCCGAAACGCUGCAGUCAUACACUUCAACGGGAACAUGAAACCGUGGCUCGACAU
rnacentral:misc_RNA from 1 species